CAUUCAUACAGGGCAGUGCGAUUUUUCCUCAUUCGUUUUUCAAAAAUGGCCGAGUAGGUAGUGUCGAGCGAGUGCUCAUCAUCGCAGUUCAAUAUCCAAGCAAGAAGAGUGCACUUUUAGCCAGUUUCCCGUUUCCCUAGCUAGUGUGGUGGAAGUUUUUCACUGAUUUUUGGACUUUUCCAAAAGUUUGAGGUAGUAUUUUUCCCGACGGAAGUUGCCUGUUCGUGUGCCUGUUGGCCGUGUGUGCCGAAGAGAAAGAAAAAAAAAAGAUCCGUUCGAAGAAGUUUAGUGCUGAAGAGCCAAGGGGCGAAGGAAAAAAAAAAAGUUCAGCGAGGAAAAAAGGAAGUCAAAAAAUUUUGUGACCCCGCAAUCGUUACUAUAGUAGUUUUAUCGCGAAGCAGAGUUUUUAUUGAGGAAAAGAUUUUUCCUUUCGAUCAAAACCUACUUGAGGGUAGGUAGGUAAUACAACACAGAAGUGGCCUGUCCCCGAAUCGAGAGCCAUCAGAGAAGUAGUUAUAUAGCAACCCACCGUCGUAGUUAAGGGGGGCCCCGUUAAAGCGGAGAAGAAGAAGUCGAACGAAGAAAGGCAUUAUAGCGAGGAAAAAAAAGUGAAAAGCAUUCAACCUAGAAGAGAAUCUACUACGACGACGGGACGGUACGGUACGGUGGUGAUCAGCAGACUUCCCUCGCCGCGUGUGAGAGUGUAUGCUCGAGGCGGCGCUCGCCCGUGUGAAAGGAAAGAAAGAAUAAGAGCAGUGAUCCAAAGUAGUGCUCCGGAAGUGACCUCCCCCGAAACGAGAGAGACGGACGGUAGUCAGCGGAGCCAGCGAGGACCGGAAGUUCAGUUCCAGGACUGACGACUCCCAGCAACACUGGCCAUUGCGCAGUGGGGAAUUUGGACGGGACCAGGAGCUCUGAAUAGUACUCUGAGCCACACGACAGCCCGAGCAACGGCAGCCGCAUCAUCAAAUUUUAUCUCUGUGCACAUCUUCAACAGAAACACCAGGCAGCAUCCAUCGACCAAACCACCACCACACUUUAGAGCUCCCAAAUGACAUGUAGAUAACGGGGAAAAUUCGAAUAAUCUACCACCACUAAUUUUAUGGAUUUCCUUCAGCAGCAGCAGCAGCAAGUCGCCUUCACAUUUUUCCAUUUAUUAUUAUUGGUUGUUACUUGGUAAAAAUAUAACCUACUGAAGAAAAAAAAACAAAACUAGCGACUAAGUGAGUGUGCAAAAGCAAAAAUAAAUCACAGUGCAGUGUUCUGUUGUGAAUCAGUUGUGUUCCUGUGUGUGUGUUUUUGUAUAUUCUGAGAGGGCCCGCAACUAUAGCGGAUCGCGGUGAAAAUCAAGGAAGAAAGAUAGCGAAGAAAAGCUUCAUUCACCAGAAAGGAAAGAAGAAGGACAAGAAGAAAGCGCAAGAGUGAGUGUGAGGGAGGAAGCAACGAAAGAAAAAUCAGUCGCUCGAAAGAGCACCAAUAUUUAUGUAUUGCAGUAACCAGAGUAGUAUGGCUACUCUGUUACAGCAGAAGAGUUUUAUGAAAAAUCUGACCAAUGGAACAAACAACGUGGUGGUCGUAAAUGGCACCAACGAUAACCAGACAGCAACGAUGGUGGCGGCAGCGGGUGCCACGAUGGCCACCGUUCCCGGAAGUGCAAGCAGGAUGUUGCUACCACACGAGACGACGACCACCUUGAUCCACCAGCAGCCGUUGAUUCAUCAGCAAACGACGUUCACGUCGUCACAUUUGCCUGCCUCCAGCUCGAUCAGCUUGACCAAUUCGAGCAGCUUCAACAGCCAAUUCAUCAGUCAUCUCCAGAGCAAUCAUCAUCUGUCGACGCAGCAAAUCUUCGGCGGCAGCAACAGUAGUCAUCCGCAUAUUGUCACAACGACUGCUACUCCCACCACUUCCUUUCAGAGUCAGUUCAACAAUGCCUACGUCGACGUCAAUGCAAUAUUUCGUUCAGCAGCAGCAUCACCCACCACCACUAGUACCGCCACAAUGCAAUCCUUCUCGUCAACUCAUCAUCCGCUGCCACACCUAACGAAUAACACCAGCAGCUCCUUAGUGUACAUAAAUGGGACCCAACAGAGCUCGGCAACAGGGCUGUCCAAGUCGUCGCAUCUUCAUUCUCAUCACCAACAUCAACAUCAGACUGUAUCCGAGAGCCAGACUGCCAAUACCACCGAUUCCGCACGGACCACUGCGACCUCCGACGGAUACGGUGACUGUGGAAACGGGACAGAAGAACAACCUGCCACUGCCACUGGCGAGACGGAGGUGAACUCCACCGUCGCCGCCACCGCCGAGAAGGAGGAUGACCAGGAGCAAGAACCCGAACCAGAAAUCGACAUUGUCAUUAACAAUGUGGUGUGUUCGUUCAGCGUCCGCUGUCAUCUGAACUUGCGCAACAUCGCACUGAACGGUUUCAACGUGGAGUUCCGUCGCGAGAACGGAAUGGUCACGAUGAAGCUGCGACGUCCCUACACGACCGCGUCCAUUUGGUCUUCGGGCAAAAUUACCUGCACCGGUGCUACUUCGGAAGAUCAGGCAAAGGUUGCGGCUCGGCGUUACUCGCGUUGCCUUCAGAAACUAGGUUUUAAUGUUAGGUUUAGGAAUUUCCGAAUCGUGAACGUGCUGGGGACGUGCAGUAUGCCGUGGGGCAUCAUGAUCGUCAACUUCUCCGAGAGGUACAAGAAGGACGCCAGCUACGAGCCGGAGCUGCACCCGGGUGUGACCUACAAACUGUACAACCCCAAGGCGACGCUGAAGAUCUUCUCCACCGGCAGCAUCACAGUGACGGCCGCCAGCGUUGCGUUCGUGCAGGCCGCCAUCGAGCAGAUCUUCCCGCUGGUGUACGAAUUCCGCAAGAAGCGUACCCCGCAGGAGAAGAUAGAGAUACUGAAGCCGCCCGUAUUCGAUCCGGAACUGUUGAUCGAAGAGGAAUGUGAUAUCGACGAAUCGGCCACGAUGUUCCCGGCGGGUGGCAACGCAGGAGAAGGAGAAGGAGCCUGCAUCGAAAUUGUCGACGAUGACGACGGGGACGCGUUCGACGACGACGAGGACGUACGCAGCAGCAGCAACCACACCAAAGCAAUACACCAGCGAAGGAAUCACCGUCGCUCGUGCAAGUCCCGCUACAGCAGCAGCUCCCAGAAUGGCGGCCGGCGGCGUCCGGCCGGUAAGGCCGACAACGAUCCCACCGAGGACGCGAUGUUCGUGUCGGACGACGACGAUGACGACAUCGUCGAGGAGCUGAUCGAGAGUGACGAUGAGUAGAUCAUCCAGAUCGUUUUCCUAUUUUCCUUUCGGCUUUACUCAAUUCGUUUACUCAAUGCUGUUCGAGGUGCGCGAAUCCCGCCCGGCUCAAAUGCCUUUUGAAUAUAGAGAUCUUACAAUAUUCAACGCUUAUUGCUUGUUACAUUUCUCUGUUUAACCCGUUUUUUUUCUAUUGUUUUCUAAUAGAAAAAAUGUGGUUUCAUGUAAGGAACUGGUCAUAGACAAACAAACACACUCACACACUCUGAGAACAGUAGAUUGUAAACAUUGAGCAAUUGAGCAAGCCUCUCCCUUGAAACAUUUACCUUAACUACAACAAAUCCUGUGAAUAGUAAUGUUUAUGUAUAAAUAGGCAUCAAGGAAUCGAAAUAAUUCAGUUUCGUGAAUGUUUUGAGCCAAAAUAGGGUAGCCUUAUUUUAGUGAUGUUAGUAAUUUGUCAUGUCGAUUCUCUCAAAGUCAAAGAGUUGAGGUGAGGGUUGAGAUUUGCCCACGCCCACGUUACAUACUCUCCGUUUUUCGAUUUAUCAGGUUUUGUUCUUUUGGAGGUGAGAGAGGAUCCUCGUUCGCGCCAAAGCGUUGAGAUAUUUACGGUUUUGUUGCUUUUUUUUAAUCCAUUGUGACACUCUUUAAUGGACAGGAUAUGGAAGUUUUGAUUUACCUAUCGGUUGACUAACAAAAUAAAACUUGUAUGAAAUGAAAAAGGGUUCCUGCAAAUGAAACACAUACAGAAAAGCUGCGUUCCUAUAAUCUAACAAUCACCGAAGAACGUCGUGGCAAACACACACACACACACACACACACCCACAACGGGCAUUAAUCACUAUAAGAUUAUUGGUAUUGUCUCGGUUCAGCAGUGUCGGAAGGGGGUGGUUCCGAUAUUCACAGAACUGAACACACAAACAAAAAACGAAAUGAUUGAUAUUUCCACCUCCAUCAACCACCACCAACAACAACUUUUCAUUCUAAUGUAGAUAUUGUAUUUAUUUUAGGACAAGUAACAAUACAAAUACAAACUCAUACACGCAGAGCGCGAGAAAGAGAGAGAGAGAGAGAAAGCGAGACACGAGCGUGAUCUAGAAUAUAUCAAAGCUUCUUUUGUCUCCUACUAUUGUCACUGCAAGUUAGGAUUUUCCUUUCGGUUCCAGUUUUGUUAAUCUAAUCUGUUUUUUUUUUUUUCGUUAAGCUUAUUUUCUGUUGAAAAAAAAAUGUUACAAAAAGAUUAUGUUGCAAUCAAAAAAAAAAUCUAUCUAUUCCAUCGUGUGAGCGAAACUAAUGUGAAAUUUUAAGUUACUGUUUUGAGUUUUUUUAUUUUUCUUUCUGGAUCAAUUUUCAACAGCACUUUGUUACAGUAGAGUACCUUGUUUGGUUAUCUGGAGAGGAAGAUAAAAGAUGAAAAUUAAAAUCAUUCGAUUAUUAUUAGCUAUGUACUUUUAGAGUGUGCUGAGCAAGAGGAGUGAAAUGUGUCGCUGCGUACAAUUGGUCCUGAGUUAUUCGAUUUGGCGUCAUUGGUGCAGAGAUCGACUUCCCCGGGAAUGGAAAGCUUCGCUAUCGCAGCGAAAAUUGUGCACAGGAAGCUGGUCGAAAAAGAUAGACUUCAGAAGCUUAGUUCACUGCAUUGGUUUUGAUGUCCGUGUUAGGAAAUCGAUUCGUCAGAAAGUUUAAGUGCUCCCGCACUUGAAAGUGAUGUCUUUGUUAGGGAAACCAUCAGGUGAUUGUAAGAUUUACGAAUAAGCUUUCAGAGAGUAUUCUCAGGACUUUUUUCAUGAAGCGUUUUAAAAUUUUCCGGGAACCGUCGGUGGGUUGUCAGGAAGUUGUGCUUUCCAGAAAAAGUUCAUGCACUUUGUUACAGUCAGACCGGCUCAAAAUUCAGUUGUUUCGAUCCAAUUUUGUUAAAAGUGAGUCUAGUUUUCCGGGCUUUCCCAGGAAAAACUUCUCAAAUAUGAGGAAAAUCCUUGAAAAGUGUACUCAGUCUAGGAGUAUUAGACUGAGUAAAGCCUCUUUUGAUGAAAUUGAGUCCACUUGACUCUAUUUUGAGUCGGCCUGAUCGUCCGUGUAGCUUUCUUGGAUAAGCAUUGAGGUCUUUGAAAAGGAGUUCUGAAGAUGUUUAGCGAAGAUUCAGGAAAUAUUCUGAGAAUACCCUUAAGGUUCUUCACUGCCGCUAUUCGCAUAACAGUCCCUUUUGAAUAGAAAUUUCAGAGGACACGGGACUGCGAAUAGCGGUAGUCCACGAGUCAUUCGUUUGAAAACUGACUGGUUGAAAUCCGUAGAACAUCUAAUGGAGUCCUUGCCUUACCCUAAUAGAAAAUAACCAUAACAAAUAGCUUAACGGCGUGUUUUGGGGUAUCAUCUAAACCAUUUGUGGAAUCGUUCUAUCAUCCGGAUUACCGUUAUUUUAUGGUAUUUUUAUUAGGAUAGUCCUGCUUGAAAAAGCAUUGAUGUCUUUCAAAAGGAGCUCAGAAAAAGAAGUUAAGGGAAGUUUUAGAAAAAAAUCGGAGAACAUUAAACGUUCUCCAUGAGUCAUUCUAAGAAUUUUGGGAACGGUCUGGAAACUAGACUGCUUUAAAAUUCUCUGAACCUCUCAAAGAAUCCUUACCUUAGUCACUACCUGGAAAUGCAUUGAGGUCUUUCAAAAGAAGUUCUGAUUUCUAGAAGGUAAAAGACUGAUUGGAACAUUUCGAUCAGCUCGUGGAAGACUUUUAAGAAGUUUUACGGAUAUUCUUGUGAAGCUCACAAAACAACAUUCCUAAGAUUUUCCUGGAUUUUGUAUGAGGCUUUUCUAUAAAACAUAGCUUCUUGAUAAUCCUCUGAAUUUUAGCUGGAAUUGCUUUGAAUUGCCUCUUGAAACCAUCAAUGAAUGUAGCUGAGCUUGACUCUCCAAAUAGUUUCUGGAAAUGCUUCUGCGAAAUGAGGGAAAACCUUCGACCAAUAUUCUCUUCCUAGUCUUUCAACUUCCCUUAGAAAAGCACUGGGAAAUCCUCAGCCCCCUAUUCUGCGAGUCACGUGACUCUCUCACCGGUGAUGUGACAAUAGUCACCUCGUGUGAGGUGACUCUCCAUUUGAUUUACAUAGAGAUUCACCUCACACGAGGUGACAAUUGUCACCUCACCGGUGACAGAGAGUCACGUGACUCGCAGAAUAAGGGGGCAAUUGUUCUACUAAUAAACCUCUAGAAAGUAUGUCGUCCGUUUUCAAACUUUGCCUUGCAAACAUCCAAACAUUUCCUGAAGUCCUUCAAAACCACUGCCCCUAGAGAGCCUUACCAAUAAAUUUAGAUCAGUUCAAUCUAAACUCAAAACUGGUUACCGUCAUUCCAUUUGUUUUCCUCAAACUAUGGAUCGAGAAACUAAUUGCUUGAAUCCAGUAUCAAUUACCGCCCAUUGGUGAUCAAAACUGCGAUAUUUUCAAUCUAAUACUGGAUCAAGCCCGAGAGGAACAGCAAUUAAAACAUUGAACCAGACCAAAUUGAAAAAUCGCAGUUUUUGACACCAGUUAAAAGCGGAAAUUUGUACACUCAUGGUAGUUUCGGAAUUCCCACAACUUUUUACCUUGCCAAUCCUUUGAAGGUUAAUACAUAUUCAAGUUCCGAAAAUUGCAAAACUUUCAGAAGAUUCUACCGAAAUGUUCUAGGACUGUGAGUUUCGUCGUAGUUGAAGUCGUAAUUUCAGAUUCCUUCGAAAAAUUAUCGAAAAAGAUCGAAAUUGGGAGGCCCUCUUUGCGACAGACCUCUUCCGAAAAAUCAUCAAAGUGUGGAGGUAGAAAGCCCUAAUGGAAGUGAUUGCCCUUCAUGAAAGUGGAGGUGAGUUCCUUAGUUUCAUCAUAGUUUUGAAUUCAUGAAGGUGGAGCUCCAAAGCUUCAUAAAAAUGGAGGUAGAAAAUACAAGCAGUGUGAAGUUGUCUCUAAAGCUUUAUGAAAGAUGUGCACGGUCGAUCAGACCGACUCAAAAUUUUGAGGACCGACCACCGGACUUCCUCAAAAUUUUGAGGAAUUUCGGCAAAAGUCUUUUCCAGGAAAUACAUUUUUAAGGUUAAGAGAAAAAUUCAUAGAGGUUUCACUCAGUCUAUUAGUAUAUUCCCGGACUGAGUAAAAUUUUCAUGGUUUUCCAGCCCGGCUACUGAGAAUAACUCAGAGAGCGAGAGUCGCUUCUACUUAGAGGUAUGGAGACAUUUAUAAAAACUGCAGGAAGGCAGCGCUGAGUACCUACAGUUUUUAUACAUUUCUCAUACAACUGAGUAGAAGUGACUCUCUCUCUCUCUCUGAGUUAUUCUCAGUGGCCAUGAGGGCUUUUGCCCGAAAAAUUCAAUACACUUUUGGACGAAACUGAGUCGGUCUGAUCGAACGUGUGUUAGAUGAUAGUCCUGCAAGGCUUCCUCAAACUGGAGGUUGCAAGUCCCAAGUAGAAUCCUCCAACACUUCAUGCAAGUGGAGUUAGAUAGUUCUUAUGGAGGUGAUAAUCCUCCAAAGAAUAAUGAAAGUGAAGGUAGAAUGCCACUGUGCCGAUGUAAAUGAUCCUCCAAAGGUUCUUUAAAGGGGAGAUAGAAAUUCAUAACGGAGUUGAAAGUAUUCCAAAGCUUCUUCAAAGGGGAGAUAGAAAGCCCUAAUGGAGACGAUAGUCUUCCAAAGUUUCAUCAAGCUGUCAGCAUGAAAGUGGAAGUCUAAAGUAUCCUAGACUGAGUAAAAUGUUCAUGAAUUUUCCUCAUGCUCUAGAAGUUUUUCUUGGUUUUCCAGGACUUUUUCUCGGAAAAUUCAACUCUCUUUUGACGAAAUUGAAUCGAUUUUGACUCAAUUUUGAGCUGGUCUGAUCGACCGUUUGGUAGACGACAGAUUCAUCAAACUAGAGGUUGAAAGCGCAAAAUAGAAUCCUCCAACACUUCAUGCAAGUGGAGGUAGAAAGUUCUAAUGGAGAUGAUAAUCCUCCAAAUAAUAAUGAAAGUGAAGGUAGAAUGCCACUGUGGCGAUGUGAAUAGUCCUCCAAAGGUUCAUCAAAGUGGAGGUGACAUUCUUAAUGGAGCUGAAAGUAUUCCGAAGCUUCUUCAAUGGGAAGAUAGAAAGCCCUAAUGGAGUCGAUAGUCUUCCAAAGUUUCAUCAAAGUGAAGGUAGAAAGUCCUUCUCAGAGAGCAAUCAGCAUGAAAAUGGAGGUGUUCUAGAUCUCCAAAGCAUAAUGAAAGAGAAAGUUUGGAAGUCCUAGUGGAAGUGAGAUAGUCCUCAAGUCCUACAUAUCUUCAUCAAACUGGAGGUAGAAAGCCGUAGGCGUGAUGAUAGGCUUCCAUAGUUCUAAUGGAUAGGUCAACAUUUACAAUGGAAGUGUACUAGAUCUCCAAAGCAUAACGAAAGAGAAAGUUUGGAAGUCCCAGUGGAAGUGAGGGAGAGUGCAACCAUCAAAGUGGAGGUAGAAAUUCUUAAUAAAAAUGGAAAUUCUCCAAAUUUUCGUCAAACUGGAGUUAGAAACGCAAUAGUGAUGAUAGGCUUCCAAAGCUUCAUCAAAGUGGAGGUAGGAAGCCCUAAUGUAGAUAAUGGUUCGUGAAAGUUAAGGUAUCAAUUCUGAAUGGAGGUAAAAGUCCAACAAAGCUUCAUCAAAGUGGAGGUAGAACGUCCUGUAAAGCCUCAUCAAAGGUUUGGAGUAAUUUAAGUUUAAAUGGAAAGUUCCAAUGGAGCAGUUCCUGGUAAAAUAGCGUAAACAAAUAAGAAUGUUUGAAUCCACCUUCGACCGAUUUGUAUCAGACUUUGCGUAAUUGUUUGUUAUUGGCAAUGAUUCACAUUUACGCUAAAAUUCGGCCAUUUUGAAUAUUGUAAAAUUUUCCAAAAUGAUGUCCUUGAAAUUUUUCAAAUAAUUUUAACACGGAACAGGCUUUUCUGAUCAAAAUGUCGUCUGAGACAAAGUUUUAGAGAAAAGGCAUGUCUUCGUGGGAAAAAUAAACAAAAAAUGUUUAACUAUUUUAUGUAAAAAAAAUAAAUCCCAAAUAUCUCAAAAUGUCCUUGGUUGAUUUUUUUUUUUAAAAUUAUAAAAAAAUUCAAACUUUUGGAAUGUUCAAAUCUGGAAAACUGACACAAACCGUAGGACAAGAACCUUUGGUAAAAAUUUUGAAAUUUUUGUUAUCCUUUUUUGUGGAAUUUUUCAAUGAUUUCAAACAUUGUUUUCUGAGCAUAAAUUACAUGAAAAAACGGUUUUAGAAAAAGUUCAAAAUUUUGAUCCAAAGUUCAUGUUUUAAGAUUUUUGUAAAUCUUUAAGUGUCCAUAAUUUUAAACAUUUUAAAGGUUUGCAUUUGUCAUAAGAUUUUUUUUUUAAUUUUAAUAUUCGGACUUAGGCAUUUUGAGUAGUUUAGGUUCUUUUUUUUUCACUUGAAAUGACUAAACACAUGUUUUUGUAUAUUUAAGUAACACUUUAUUUUGCUCUACAACUUUGUCUCAGAUGUCAUUUCAAUCGGAAGUGUCUUUUUUUAGGCUACUAUUUUUUAAGUUUCAAUGGCGCCAUUUUGAAAAAUUUGCAUGAUCCAAAAUGGCCGAAUUUAAAAAAAAAUGUGAAUCGUUCAUAGCAAACAAUUAUGCAAAGUUUCAUGCAAAUCGGAGAGGGUCGAGUUUUUCCGAUUCGUCAUUUGACGUGAAGCUGUUCCUAAUGAAGAUACCGUGAAGUGCCAUAAUUUCGUUCAACAAUUUGUAGUGUAUUGUGAUAUUUUCUAAAUGGAUAUUCUUCCCACACAAUAGUCAGUAACACCUAUCCAAAAUUCUUGUUCAAUUCAAAAUGUCCUCAUUUAAGAUUUGAAUCGAAUUUUGAGAUAAUGCGGGAAAUUAUAGUACUUUACGGUAGUCCUCCAAAGCUUCAUCAAUUGAUAGAUAGGCCCCCUUAUUCUCCGCCGCUAGUGAGGUGAGGUGACUCGCUGUCACUAGUGA